CUGCACUGCUAUCGGAUUGAUACUAAGCCAUGCGAGUCAUUGUAGUAAUACAAGGCAGACGGCUCAGUAACGCGUAGUCAACCUAACCUAUGGACGGGAAUAACCUCGGGAAACUGAGUAUAAUGCCCGAUAGAACAUUAUGCCUGGAAUGGUUUAUGUUCCAAAUGAUUUAUCGCCGUAGGAUGGGACUGCGGCCUAUCAGUUUGUUGGUGAGGUAAUGGCCCACCAAGACUAUUACAGGUACGGGCUCUGAGAGGAGUGGCCCGGAGAUGGGUACUGAGACACGGACCCAGGCCCUAUGGGGCGCAGCAGGCGAGAAAACUUUGCAAUGUGCGAAAGCACGACAAGGUUAAUCCGAGUGGUUUCUGCUAAAGGAACCUUUUGUCGGUCCUAGAAACACCGAUGAAUAAGGGGUGGGCAAGUUCUGGUGUCAGCCGCCGCGGUAAAACCAGCACCUCAAGUGGUCAGGAUGAUUAUUGGGCCUAAAGCAUCCGUAGCCGGCUUUGUUAGUUUUCGGUUAAAUCUGUACGCUUAACGUACAGGCUGCCGGGAAUACUGCAGAGCUAGGGAGUGGGAGAGGUAGACGGUACUCGGUAGGAAGGGGUAAAAUCCUUUGAUCUAUUGGAUGACCACCUGUGGCGAAGGCGGUCUACCAGAACACGUCCGACGGUGAGGGAUGAAAGCUGGGGGAGCAAACCGGGAUUAGAUACCCGGGUAGUCCCAGCUGUAAACUAUGCAAACUCAGUGAUGCAUUGGCUUGUGGCCAAUGCAGUGCUGCAGGGAAGCCGUUAAGUUUGCC
rnacentral:rRNA from 1 species